rnacentral:misc_RNA from 1 species
AAGUCGUAACAAGGUCUCCGUAGGUGAACCUGCGGAGGGAUCAUUAACACGUUUCCAUAACGUUUUAUUACUACCAACCAACCGCGUGAUAUAAUCGAAUCAAUUUCAAUCGACCUGUCUGAAUUAACAAUCUGCUUGGAAUGCACGAAGUGAUGAGUAUGUUUUAAACGACAUACGGUGUCUCUAAGCUAGUAUGGCAGUUACUUGUGACUGACUUUACACGAUUUUAAUUCUCUCGGGCUAAUAAAACUAUUUUAUUUUAGUUCCUUUCAUCGCUGGAACUAUACAAACCCCUUUCACCACUCUAAUGAAUCGACUGAUAUUGCUAUAAAUAAUAUAUAAUAUUAAUUUGUUAUGUUUAUCUAUUGCAAACUUUAUUAAUCAAAUAUCUAAGCACAACUCUUAGCAACGGAUAUCUUGGUUCUC